rnacentral:lncRNA from 1 species
CUUCAGUCUCCGCAAUUAAGUCGUACAGCAGGCAUGCCCCCUGUUGCAGCUGCGCUGUCAAUCUCAUUUUGAAGCACAAAUGAUCUUAGACCCAGUGUUUGACAUGGGGUUUUAACACCAAAGAAGGCAAUUCUGCAACUUCAAAUGAGCCUAAUUGGCUGAGCGCUCGGGCGUUCACUCAAGCUGCUUCAGUCCAUCAGAGAGAGAUUUCCCGCUAAUUGAACUGCUCAGAAGGAAAAGGACCACGAGGAAUCACGAGACCUCUUGCUCCUGCUUGCUUCUGCCAUCCAGCAUCUAUCUGCUAUCCUCUGCUCUCGGAGAGGCACAGCUGUGUGUGAGUCCCAUGGAGUCUUAACUAAGAUUGAAAUCUGAGGCUGAUGUUGGUGUUCUCAUGGGAACAAGAAUCCUGACUCUAUGUAUUGAUGUACGGUCAAGGGAGGUAGAGCAGUCUGCUCAAACCAGAACUAGACCUCAGCUGUUCUGCUUUUCAGCCCAUCUUCUUCUAACUAUAAUGCAGUGUUAAAUUGAGAAGGAUGAAGCUAAAGAAAAUUUUCAUUUGUUUUGCAUUUUUACCUCCAUGAAACUCGAGUCUCUUUCCGUCUCUUACCCUCCGAAGAGGAGCCUGUCUCUGGAUCUCGGGAUUUUCCACUGAAGAAUCAGAAGAAAGUGGGGAGGACGAUUAGCCCUGAGCUAACAUCUGCUACCAAUCCACCUCUCUUUUUGCUGAGGAAGACUGGCCCUGAGCUAACAUCCAUGCCCAUCUUCCUCUACUUUACAUGUGGGACACCUACCACAGCAUGGCUUUUGCCAAGCGGUGCCAUGUGCGCACCCAGGAUCCGAACCGGCGAACCCCAGGUGCCGAGAAGGGGAAUGUGCACACUUAACUGCUGCGCCACCAGGCCAGCCCCUGGGACAAGCUUUUCCAUGAGACGUUAGUUGUGCAAACUUAAAGCAGUGAUUAUAACCAAAGGAUGCUUGAGACCAGUGGCUCCAAGGAGCUCCAGAUAAAAACAUAACAUAUUGUCUAAAUGGCUGUUGAAGAACGUGUCCGGGAAGACUGGAGGCUGUAUAAAUUGUUUCCUUUUUCCUUUCGAGAAACAACGUCAAAAAGAAAUGGCUGUGUUUCCUCCUGUCUACAUACAGAGAAACCCUUUGGAAAGUGGUGAAUUUUUCAGGGAGUGUCUUAAGCUUGAAAAGCAGGCAAUCAUAGGAUAGAAAUGUGAAAAGAUUUUCAGCUGGCAAUCCCAGAGGACUUGAUUUAUAAAUGUACUUCCUCUAUAUUUUGGAUUUAAUUUCCUAUCUUUUUGUCUAACCUGAAUGUUAAGAGUUGGGGGAAAAAUGGCCAAAUUCAAACACCUUUCUACUAUCCAAGAUUGAGGUUUCAC